rnacentral:misc_RNA from 1 species
UACGGAGGGUGCGAGCGUUAAUCGGAAUUACUGGGCGUAAAGCGAGCGUAGGCGGCGUGAUAAGAGGGUUGUGAAAGCCCCGGGCUCAACCUGGGAACGGCAUCCGGAACUGUCAGGCUAGAGUGCAGGAGAUGAAGGUAGAAUUCCCGGUGUAUCUGUGAAAUGCGUAGAGAUCGGGAGGAAUACCAGUGGCGAAGGCGGCCUUCUGGACUGACACUGACGCUGAGGUGCGAAAGCGUGGGUAGCAAACAGG